UUGAACGCUGGCGGCAUGCCUAACACAUGCAAGUCGAACGCGAAAGGGGGGCAACCCCCGAGUAGAGUGGCGGACGGGUGAGUAAUACGUAGGAAUCUGCCCAAUAGUGGGGGACAACUUAGGGAAACUUAAGCUAAUACCGCAUACGCACUACGGUGGAAAGCAGGGGAUCGCAAGACCUUGCGCUAAAUGGAGGAGCCUACGUCUGAUUAGCUAGUUGGUAGGGUAACGGCCUACCAAGGCGACGAUCAGUAGCUG
rnacentral:rRNA from 1 species